GUUCUGAGCCACUAAGGUAUGUAGUAAUUUGUUAUGCACCAAGUAGUAAGUAAUAUACCUGACAGUAAUUGUAAGGUGGUAUUCUGGAUUAGGUCCUGGAAUAGAUAAGUAUACCAUUAUUAGAAAACCUGGUAAAAUAUGAAGGAAGUUUGUAGAUGAGUUAAUAGUCUUGAAAAACAGUUAAAUUCUUAGUUUUCAUGAAUAUGCUAUGGUUACAAUAGAUAUUGACAUUCUAGUUAGCUGAAUGGUAUAUGAAACUGUCUGUACUUACCUAUGUGCAUUUAUGUAAAUCUGCAGUUAUUUCAAAAUAAAUAUGUUUUUUAAUAUUAUUCUUUUGUUUUUUAAGAAAAGUAAGCAAGUAAAGACAUCAGCAAACACUUUUGCCUCCAGAUACAAGUGGGCAUGUAGGGAGAGAAUAGUAAACUAGCUUUGCUUUUCUAGGCAACAUUCGAAACCCAGGCGCCACUGCUUCAGGAAGGUACCAUCAAGCUCCAAGGACUCUUGUCCUCUUUCUCCUUCCCCACUACCUAGUCAUUAGAGCGUCAGCAUCCACUUCUUGAAAGGAAGAUGCCUGUUUUUCACAUAUCCCAGAAAGCCCCAUUUUAGGACACCAUUUAGCAGAGUAUAUUCAGGACCCCACUAACGUUUUUGGAACACAUGACUUCCAGAUGAUAUAAGGCAAGAAUAAGAAAUUUCAGUGACAGGGAACAUAAAUCAUAUUUCUGCCUUCAGGAUCAUGUUUUCUUGGUACAGGGAUUUCUUCUUCAAGUAAUCCAAAGACAACUUUACCUUCAAACCUUUCAGAAAACCUGUUCUAAUUUAGUUCUCUCCAUUCUACAGGCUCCAUCAGGAACUGUUCAGGACCGUGCACUCUGUUGAUACUCACAUGGUGGAAUUAUAUUACCCUUGGCCAACCCUAAAGCCAUCAAGAUAGCAGAAUUAAUGAAGGAUCAUUAUUAAGUUUUUAAUGGGUCAAGAGCAAGUUACCACUGAAGUCUUCUCUACCUGGGCAACAAUUGACUCCUAAGAACCACUAUAAGCUUGGAAGAUGAUCCCUCCCCAGCUGAUACUUCAGGCAAGCCUUCUGGAAAAAUCAAGCCGAAGAAUUCUUAAUUGCCCAAUGUCCCUUAUCUGUUUCAGUAUAUUCAAGGAAUAUUAGCAGCGAAAAAGAAAAGAUAACUUUUCUUCACGAGAGAGAAGACCAAAAUUAUUUUAGGGAAAAAAGUUCAUUUAAUGAGGUUCCUGAGUCAGUAAAGUCCAAAGGAUUCAGUGUGUCCUCACAUUAACUCUGUAUGACUUACAGUGGAUUGUUGGUGAGAGUAUUCAGCCACAGGGUGCUAGGUAUGAUUUACUGUCACUACCACAAUUCUAUACAAAGCUGGCCACCCAGAGAUUCAUUUCAUAUGACUGGAGAUUGGUGCUUUUCAAAAUUAUUAAAUUACAAGUAAUCUCACCUGGCAAUUAUAAAUUGUUGCUACUAUCACAAUAUUUAUAUAAUUAUUAAAUUAAAUUUUUGGAAAAUAUUUUGCCUUGACAAAUUUCAUCUCAACAUGUUUGCUUCUGCCAAGUCAGAUGAUCUCAGAAUAAUCAUUUGCCAUCUAAUGUUAUUUUGCCUCACAAACACAAGGAAGAUUUUAUAUUCAAAAAAAGCAUCUAUUCCCAUUUGACAAGAAAAAUAAAGAGAUGGAUUUUUCUGGAA